GACGAACGCUGGCGGCGUGCCUAAUACAUGCAAGUAGAACGCUGAAUGAGGAUCUUGCUCUUCUGGAUGAGUUGCGGACGGGUGAGUAACGCUUAGGUAACCUGCCUGUUAGCGGGGGGGAACUAUUUGAAACGAUAGCUAAUACCGCAUAAGAUUAGAUGUUGCAUGACAUGUACUUAAAAGGUUCAAUUGCAUCACUACCAGAUGGACCUGCGUUGUAUUAGCUAGUUAGUGUGGUAACGGCUUACCAAGGCGACGAUACAUAGCCGACCUGCGAGGGUGCGAGGCAACGCUGGGACGGAGACACGGCCCAGAACACUACGGGAGGCAGCCGUAGGGGAUUCUCGGGAAUGGAAGGAAGUCGGAACGGGCAACGACGCGUGAGUGACGAAGGCUGUCGGAUCGUAUAGCUCAGUUGUACGAGAAGAACGAGUAUGAGAGUGGACCGUUCACACUGUGACGGUAUCGGAAGAGAAAGCGACGGCUAACUACGUG
rnacentral:rRNA from 1 species